AUUGAACGCUGGCGGCAUGCCUAACACAUGCAAGUCGAACGGCAGCACAGAUAUAGUUUACUAUAUUGGGUGGCGAGUGGCGGACGGGUGAGUAACGCGUGGGUAUAUGACCUAAUGACGGGGACAACUUGCGGAAACGCGAGCUAAUACCGGAUAAGCUCUGAGGAGGAAAGCUGGGGAUCUGGCGACAGACCUGGCGCUUUAGGAGUAACCUGCGUCCAAUUAGCUAGUUGGUAGGGUAAAGGCCUACCAAGGCGACGAUUGGUAGCUGGUCUGAGAGGACGGACAGCCACACUGGGACUGAGACACGGCCCAGACUCCUACGGGAGGCAGCAGUGGGGAAUUUUGGACAAUGGGCGCAAGCCUGAUCCAGCCAUGCCGCGUGAGUGAAGAAGGCCU
rnacentral:rRNA from 1 species